rnacentral:rRNA from 1 species
ACGCUGGCGGCGUGCUUAACACAUGCAAGUCGAGCGGUAAGGCCUUUCGGGGUACACGAGCGGCGAACGGGUGAGUAACACGUGGGUGAUCUGCCCUGCACUUCGGGAUAAGCCUGGGAAACUGGGUCUAAUACCGGAUAUGACCUCAGGUUGCAUGACUUGGGGUGGAGAGAUUUAUCGGUGCAGGAUGGGCCCGCGGCCUAUCAGCUUGUUGGUGGGGUAAUGGCCUACCAAGGCGACGACGGGUAGCCGACCUGAGAGGGUGACCGGCCACACUGGGACUGAGACACGGCCCAGACUCCUACGGGAGGCAGCAGUGGGGAGUAUUGCACAAUGGGCGAAAGCCUGAUGCAGCGACGCCGCGUGAGGGAUGACGGCCUUCGGGUUGUAAACCUCUUUCAGCAGGGACGAAGCGCAAGUGACGGUACCUGCAGAAGAAGCACCGGCUAACUACGUGCCAGCGGCCGCGGUAAUACGUAGGGUGCAAGCGUUGUCCGGAAUUACUGGGCGUAAAGAGUUCGUAGGCGGUUUGUCGCGUCGUUUGUGAAAACCAGCAGCUCAACUGCUGGCUUGCAGGCGAUACGGGCAGACUUGAGUACUGCAGGGGAGACUGGAAUUCCUGGUGUAGCGGUGAAAUGCGCAGAUAUCAGGAGGAGCACCGGUGGCGAAGGCGGGUCUCUGGGCAGUAACUGACGCUGAGGAACGAAAGCGUGGGUAGCGAACAGGAUUAGAUACCCUGGU